CCUACGGGAGGCAGCAGUGAGGAAUAUUGGUCAAUGGCCGGAAGGCUGAACCAGCCAAGCCGCGUGAAGGACGAAGGUGCCAAGCAUUGUAAACUUCUUUUGUCAAGGGACAAAAUCAGGCUCGAGAGCCUGACCGAGGGUACUUGAAGAAAAAGCAUCGGCUAACUCCGUGCCAGCAGCCGCGGUAAUACGGAGGAUGCGAGCGUUAUCCGGAUUUAUUGGGUUUAAAGGGUGCGUAGGCGGAUUUUUAAGUCAGCGGUAAAAUGUCCGGGCUCAACCCGGGCCGGCCGUUGAAACUGGGGAUCUUGAGUGGGCGAGAAGUAUGCGGAAUGCGUGGUGUAGCGGUGAAAUGCAUAGAUAUCACGCAGAACUCCGAUUGCGAAGGCAGCAUACCGGCGCCCGACUGACGCUGAGGCACGAAAGCGUGGGGAUCGAACAGGAUUAGAUACCCCAGUAGUC
rnacentral:rRNA from 1 species